GACGAACGCUGGCGGCGUGCCUAAUACAUGCAAGUAGAACGCACAGUUUAUACCGUAGCUUGCUACACCAUAGACUGUGAGUUGCGAACGGGUGAGUAACGCGUAGGUAACCUGCCUGGUAGCGGGGGAUAACUAUUGGAAACGAUAGCUAAUACCGCAUAAUAUUAAUUAUUGCAUGAUAAUUAAUUGAAAGGUGCAAUUGCACCACUACCAGAUGGACCUGCGUUGUAUUAGCUAGUAGGUGAGGUAACGGCUCACCUAGGCGACGAUACAUAGCCGACCUGGGAGGGUGAUCGGCCACACUGGGACUGGGACACGGCCCAGACUCCUACGGGAGGCAGCAGUAGGGAAUCUUCGGCAAUGGACGAAAGUCUGACCGAGCAACGCCGCGUGAGUGAAGAAGGUUUUCGGAUCGUAAAGCUCUGUUGUAAGAGAAGAACGGGUGUGAGAGUGGAAAGUUCACACUGUGACGGUAUCUUACCAGAAAGGGACGGCUAACUACGUG
rnacentral:rRNA from 1 species